AUUGAACGCUGGCGGCAGGCCUAACACAUGCAAGUCGAGCGAGCGGCGGACGGGUGGGUAAUGUAUGGGGACUGCCCGAUAGAGGGGGCUAACUACUGGAAACGGUAGCUAAUACCGCAUACUAUCGGAUAACCCAUAUGGGAUUAGCUAGUAGGUGAGGUAAUGGCUCCCCUAGGCGACGAUCCCUAGCUGGUCUGAGAGGAGGAUCAGCCACACUGGGACGGAGACACGGCCCAGACUCCAACGGAGGCAGCAGUGGGGAAUAUUGUACAAUGGGCGCAAGCCUGAUGCAGCCAUGCCGCGUGGAUGAAGAAGGCCCUAGGGUUGUGAAGUACUUUUAGUCGGGAGGCGUUACCGACAGAAGAAGCACCGGCUAACUCCGUGCCAGCAGCCGCGGUAAUAC
rnacentral:rRNA from 1 species